AAUUUUACGAAGUGUAAAAAGCUUUAGCUCUUGAUUAGCAUCAAAGUUACCUUCUAAAAGAUCCAAAUAAUCGGAAUAAAUUUGACCUCCAAAUCUCCAAGAAGCCAACCCAUCUGUUUGCCCAUUAAAUCCUUCUAGUGCUUUUUUCAAUUGUGUCUUAUUACCACUUAUAACAGCCUGUGGAGCCAAGGUAUCCAACAACACCUUAUGCGCAUCUUCAUACAAAGCAGCUUCCUGAAGGAAAUAAAGCUCGUUUAAGUGAUCACCAACAUAACGUGCAUACAACGCUUUGGCCUCGUUUAACCAGGAUUCAGGGAUACAUAACUUUUCAAUCAUUUCAACAGCACCAGCACCUAAUCCCCCACGAAGGUUUCGUGCUAAACAUGAAGUGAUAGUCGAUGUUCGGGUUUCUACAUUCUCCAAAUGCAAUAAAACAAAUAAUGACCAUAACCAUUGCCCUGAUGCUUCCAACUGGGAAGCAUAUGCCAGAGUCAAUUGAUCAGAAUGAACACUAAUAGGUUUUAGAUCUUCAGCCAUGUUAAUAUCCACCACUCUAUCUGAAAAGUCACAUAAGGAUCUAGCUUUCGAUAAGUAAAUUGCCAAUUGCCAUACUACUCUGUAAUUCAGCGGCGAACAUUUAGCGCUUUCCGGUAUAGUAAGUUCUUCUAAACUAGUGCCCAUAGCAUACGCUUUGAGCAAAAGAUAAAUAAUGUCAUAUACUUCAAUACCUUGCACAGCACUAGUGGCGAUUGGUUUCUGCAUGAUUUCAG